GACGGACGCUGGCGGCGUGCUUAACACAUGCAAGUCGAACGGAAAGGCCCUGCUUUUGUGGGGUGCUCGAGUGGCGAACGGGUGAGUAACACGUGAGUAACCUGCCCUUGACUUUGGGAUAACUUCAGGAAACUGGGGCUAAUACCGGAUAGGAGCUCCUGCUGCAUGGUGGGGGUUGGAAAGUUUCGGCGGUUGGGGAUGGACUCGCGGCUUAUCAGCUUGUUGGUGGGGUAGUGGCUUACCAAGGCUUUGACGGGUAGCCGGCCUGAGAGGGUGACCGGACACAUUGGGACUGAGAUACGGCCCAGACUCCUACGGGAGGCAGCAGUGGGGAAUAUUGCACAAUGGGCGGAAGCCUGAUGCAGCAACGCCGCGUGCGGGAUGACGGCCUUCGGGUUGUAAACCGCUUUCGCCUGUGACGAAGCGUGAGUGACGGUAAUGGGUAAAGAAGCACCGGCUAACUACGUG
rnacentral:rRNA from 1 species